GAGUUUGAUCGUGGCUCAGGACGAACGCUGGCGGCGUGCUUAACACAUGCAAGUCGAACGAUGAAGGGGAGCUUGCUCCUUGGAUUAGUGGCGAACGGGUGAGUAACACGUGAGUAACCUGCCCUUGACUCUGGGAUAAGCGUUGGAAACGACGUCUAAUACCGGAUAUGACCUGUGACGGCAUCGUCUGCAGGUGGAAAGAAUUUUGGUCAAGGAUGGACUCGCGGCCUAUCAGGUAGUUGGUGAGGUAACGGCUCACCAAGCCGACGACGGGUAGCCGGCCUGAGAGGGUGACCGGCCACACUGGGACUGAGACACGGCCCAGACUCCUACGGGAGGCAGCAGUGGGGAAUAUUGCACAAUGGGCGAAAGCCUGAUGCAGCAACGCCGCGUGAGGGACGACGGCCUCGGUUGUAA
rnacentral:rRNA from 1 species